rnacentral:lncRNA from 1 species
CCUCAAGUGCGUUCAAUUCACCUUUUAUGACCACAAAUUCUGGAGCUCCGGUUUGGAACAAUAACAACUCUUUGACUGUUGGAACCAGAGGUAAUUUCUCAUUCUACAUUUUGGUUUUUUUUUUUGUUUUUAUAAUUAUUUUUGAUGAUCCAUGAUAUAUGUUUGUAAUCAAUGCGUUAGUUUUUCCGUUUAGUUUGGUUAAUUUAAAAAAAUUGGGUUAUGGCCAAUUGAAUUGUUGCUUUCCUUCAUCUGUUUGUGUUGUGUUGGUGUUUAUGACGGUGAUUUUUCGUUUACUCAGUGUCGUAUUCUUUGAGUUUUUUCCGUAUAGUUUGGUUAAUUGCAACAUUUGAGUGAUGGGUAAUUGAAUUGUUACUUUCCUUCAUUUGUUUGUGUUGUAUUUGUGGUUGUGAUGGUGAUUUUUCGAUUUACGCGUUUCGUAUUCUUUCAGAGUUUUUCCUCGAUAAUAUUAUGUGGCAGUCGUAAUUAUUCGCAAAUGCCUGGUGAUUAUUAGCUUUCGGUUUAUGAUGGUCUGAUCUUUUACAUGAUUAUAUUCACACCGUAUAACUUCUGAUGAAUGUGUUGCUGAUUUUUAUCCUUUAGAUUUUCUCGAUUAUAAGAUGAUUUCUGUGAUGGGGUUAUAGCUGAAUAUGCGUAACGGAAUAAACACAAAGUAUAUGUAUACAAUAUACGUUGUUUUUUUCAGAAUUCUGUGCUAUAUUAUACAAAUCUGAUGCAAAAAUCGAAACUUGUAUUGGACAGGUCCAAUCCUCCUGGAAGACUAUCAUUUGGUGGAGAAACUUGCUAAUUUCGACCGCGAGAGGAUUCCAGAACGUGUUGUACAUGCCAGAGGUGCAAGCGCAAAGGGCUUCUUUGAGGUGACUCACGAUAUUUCGAACCUUACUUGUGCCGAUUUCCUUCGAGGGCCAGGUGUUCAAACGCCAGUCAUUGUUCGAUUCUCCACUGUUAUUCACGAGCGUGGUAGCCCUGAAAGUAUCAGGGAUCCCAGAGGAUUUGCAGUGAAAUUUUACACAAGAGAGGUAACAAAAAAACAAAUUGGUUUUCCAUUUUAUUUCUCGUCAAACACUAAGUUAAAUAUGUAGUAAGAUGUUCGUUCACGAAGGGAUGAUCAUUCUAGAAAACCAUCUGCCAGCAUCUGUUUCGUGUCUAUGAAAUUGAACAUCUUUCAUAUGAUUCAUUGAGUGAAAAUUAGUAUCUUGUCACUAUAAAAUUUAUAAUAGUGGAACUCUUAUAUGUUUGGUUCUCUUUCGAGACCAUAUUUCCAUUUAAUUUUGGGGAAAUAUAUUUUGAGAAAAGAAUUUGAAAAUAAAACUAAUGUUUCUUUGUAUUUUGAGACGAUAUAAGUUACAAUGUAGCAGUCAAAUCAUGUCUAAAAUGCUGCAAAAAAGCAUUUUGGAAGAAGAAUUUGAAAAAUUAAAUAAUGUUUAUUUGAAAUUUAGUGAAAACAUUUGUUAUUGUUGCAGCUAAAUCAUAUAUGAAAAGAGAAAUUUCGGAUUUUUUGGGGAAUUGUUUUUGAAAAUCUUAACAGAUGUAAUUUCAGUAAGUGAUGUUUUUUUUGGUUGUUGCAGGGAAACUUCGAUUUGGUGGGGAACAACUUCCCCGUCUUCUUCAUUCGGGACGGAAUGAAAUUCCCAGACAUGGUUCACGCAUUAAAACCCAACCCAAAAUCCCACAUUCAAGAAAACUGGAGAAUCCUCGAUUUUUUCUCCCACCACCCCGAGAGCUUGCACAUGUUCACAUUCCUCUUCGACGAUUUGGGCGUUCCGCAAGAUUACAGGCACAUGGAAGGCUCCGGAGUCAACACCUACACCCUAAUCAACAAAGCCGGAAAAGUCAACUACGUCAAGUUCCAUUGGAAGCCAACUUGUGGAGUCAAGUGUCUAAUCGAAGAAGAAGCUAUCAAAGUCGGAGGAGCCAAUCACAGC